rnacentral:rRNA from 1 species
AACGAACGCUGGCGGCAUGCCUAACACAUGCAAGUCGAACGAUGGUCUUCGGAUCAUAGUGGCGCACGGGUGCGUAACGCGUGGGAAUCUGCCCUUGGGUUCGGAAUAACAGUUGGAAACGACUGCUAAUACCGGAUGAUGUCGAUAAGACCAAAGAUUUAUCGCCCGAGGAUGAGCCCGCGUCGGAUUAGCUAGUUGGUGGGGUAAAGGCCUACCAAGGCGACGAUCCGUAGCUGGUCUGAGAGGAUGAUCAGCCACACUGGGACUGAGACACGGCCCAGACUCCUACGGGAGGCAGCAGUGGGGAAUAUUGGACAAUGGGCGCAAGCCUGAUCCAGCACUGCCGCGUGAGUGAUGAAGGCCUUAGGGUUGUAAAGCUCUUUUACCCGGGAAGAUAAUGACUGUACCGGGAGAAUAAGCCCCGGCUAACUCCGUG